rnacentral:siRNA from 1 species
CGGGGCGUGGACCGACGCGG